rnacentral:rRNA from 1 species
UACGUAGGGGGCAAGCGUUGUCCGGAUUCAUUGGGCGUAAAGAGCGUGUAGGCGGCCAGGUAGGUCGGUUGUGAAAACUGGAGGCUCAACCUUCAGAGGUCGACCGAAACCAUCUGGCUAGAGUCCGGGAGAGGAGAGUGGAAUUCCUGGUGUAGCGGUGAAAUGCGCAGAUAUCAGGAAGAACACCCGUGGCGAAAGCGGCUCUCUGGAACGGUACUGACGCUGGAGACGCGAAAGCGUGGGGAGCGAACAGG